GUUACAGCACUGAAUACAAAUGAUGGCUUCAUCUACAUCAGGUUCUGAUUUGAAGAUUGUAAUGACUGAUGAAGAGAAGAGUGCUGAGGCAUCACCUACAUCAGUUUCUGGUGUGAGAACUGUGAGAACUGGAAAAACUGAUGAGAAGAGUGCUGAGGACUCAUCUAAAUCAGUGCUGUGUAAGUUACUAUAAAUUAGUGACUUAGUUCCAUUAUUAGUUACUUCUAUCAAAAGUAACUCAGUUACUUCAAGUUACUCGUUACUUUCAA